rnacentral:rRNA from 1 species
AGCAGCAGCCACGGGAAAACGUAGGGUGCAAGCGUUAAUCGGAAUUACUGGGCGUAAAGCGUGCGCAGGCGGUUAUAUAAGUCAGAUGUGAAAUCCCCGGGCUCAACCUGGGAACUGCAUUUGAGGCUGUAUGGCUAGAGUGUGUCAGAGGGGGGUAGAAUUCCACGUGUAGCAGUGAAAUGCGUAGAUAUGUGGAGGAAUACCGAUGGCGAAGGCAGCCCCCUGGGAUAACACUGACGCUCAUGCACGAAAGCGUGGGGAGCAAACAGGAUUAGAGACCCCCGUAGUCCCUGUCUCUUAUAC